rnacentral:rRNA from 1 species
GACGAACGCUGGCGGCGUGCUUAACACAUGCAAGUCGAACGGAAAGGCCCUGCUUUUGUGGGGUGCUCGAGUGGCGAACGGGUGAGUAACACGUGAGUAACCUGCCCUUGACUUUGGGAUAACUUCAGGAAACUGGGGCUAAUACCGGAUAGGAGCUCCUGCUGCAUGGUGGGGGUUGGAAAGUUUCGGCGGUUGGGGAUGGACUCGCGGCUUAUCAGCUUGUUGGUGGGGUAGUGGCUUACCAAGGCUUUGACGGGUAGCCGGCCUGAGAGGGUGACCGGCCACAUUGGGACUGAGAUACGGCCCAGACUCCUACGGGAGGAAGCAGUGGGGAAUAUUGCAAAAUGGGCGGAAGCCUGAUGCAGCAACGCCGCGUGCGGGAUGACGGCCUUAGGGUUGUAAACCGCUUUCGCCUGUGACGAAGCGUGAGUGACGGUAAUGGGUAAAGAAGCACCGGCUAACUACGUG